rnacentral:rRNA from 1 species
UGAAUACGAGACGCUAAGGCGUCGAAGUAGUGUAUGUCAUACUUCCAAGAAAAGCUUGCACUGUCAUAGAUAAAAAACGCCUGUACCAUAACCGACACAGGUGGGUAGGUAGAGUAUACUAAGGGGCGCGAGAUAACUCUCUCUAAGGAACUCGGCAAAAUAACUCCGUAACUUCGGGAGAAGGAGUGCCUUAUUCGUAAGGUUGCAAUAACAAGAUCCAAGCAACUGUUUAUCAAAAACACAGGUCUCCGCUAAGUCGUAAGACGAUGUAUGGGGGCUGACGCCUGCCCAGUGCCAGAAGGUUAAAGAAGUUGGUUAGCAAUUGCGAAGCUGAUAACUGAAGCCCUGGUGAACGGCGGCCGUAACUAUAACGGUCCUAAGGUAGCGAAAUUCCUUGUCGGGUAAGUUCCGACCCGCACGAAAGGCGUAAUGAUUUGGAUACUGUCUCGGAGAGGGGCUCGGUGAAAUAGACUUGUCUGUGAAGAUGCGGACUACCUGCACCAGGACAGAAAGACCCUAUGAAGCUUCACUGUAACUUGAAAUUGAAAUUGGACUUUAUUCGCGCAGUAUAGGUGGGAGGCGCAUUAUAAUCUUGUGGGAUUAUUGGAGCCAUCAGUGAGAUACCACUCUUGUAAUGUUAGAUUUCUAACUUUGAAUCAUUAUCUGGUCAAAGAACAGUUUCAGGCGGGCAGUUUGACUGGGGCGGUCGCCUCCUAAACGGUAACGGAGGCGUACAAAGGUUUCCUCUGAACGGUUAGAAAUCGUAUCUAGAGUGUAAAGGCAUAAGGAAGCUUGACUGUGAGACCUACAAGUCGAGCAGGGACGAAAGUCGGUCUUAGUGAUCUGACGGUACUGAGUGGAAAGGCCGUCACUCAACGGAUAAAAGUUACUCUAGGAUAACAGGCUGAUCUCCCCCAAGAGUUCACAUCGACGGGGAGGUUUGGCACCUCGAUGUCGGCUCAUCGCAUCCUGGGGCGGUAGUACGUCCCAAGGGUUGGGCUGUUCGCCCAUGAAAGCGGUACGCGAGCUGGGUUCAGAACGUCGUGAGACAGUUCGGUCCAUAUCCGGUGUAGGCGUUAGAAUAUUGAGAGGAGCCUUCUUUAGUACGAGAGGACCGAGAAGGACAUACCUCUGGUGUACCAGUUAUCGUGCCAACGGUAAACGCUGGGUAGCUAUGUAUGGAGUGGAUAACCGCUGAAAGCAUCUAAGUGGGAAGCCCACCUCAAGAUAAGUAUUCUCAUC